rnacentral:lncRNA from 1 species
CCAGGCCCCACUGCCUCUAACUCAGCGGCCCAGGCCCGUCCCAGUCGCUAGUUUUCUUUUUGGCAUUGCCCUUUGCCCUCCCAUGCAGUCCUCUGUUGACUCUCUCUUCAGUUCCAGUCACCUCUAGGUCACCCUCCCUCUACCACAGUCACCCAUUUUGUCCCCUGUCCCCUUACUCUUCUUCACCUCUCCCCGGGCCGCCUUCUCAGAGGACUCUGCCGACGGAGAUGCUGCGGACCCCGCGGCCAGGGGCUGCUCCCCGGACAACCCUGCGUCCACCUUUGCCCCUUCCUCGGGGGCGCGAGAGGCAAGUUUCCGCCCCGUCCUUUUCCCGGUGACAGGACUUGGCGGCGGCCACUGCCGGGGAGGCAGAGGGAGGGACGGCCUGGCUCCCGAGCCCCCUCCCCUGCUCGCGAGCUCGCGCUGUCUG